GAGGAGGAGAUACGUGUAGUCCUGGUUUUAGCUUGCUUAGCAUUAGCGACACAUAGGUAGGCGAAGGCGCAACAAGCUCCUUGCCGAAAUAAGUACUCACUCUUGGUAUUUUUUUUUCUUGGAAUUGGCCAAACUCCUUCAAAGGUUUGUAUCCUUGGAGUAACAACGGAACCUGACUUUGCUAAAACAAAUAACGGUGAUGGCGUGGUCAUGUGUGCAGCCUGCACUGCGUGUGUGGAGAUGGUUUUAACAGGCACUGCUCUGGAGGACUCAGGAACACUGCACUGCCUGGAGACGCCUCAUAAACGCAUACAUAACACACUUUAACACACAAGGAUAAACAGAAUUACACAAACCACUGCCGUGCAGUGAAAAAGGACACAUAACUUAAGCUUGAGGAUACACACAUUUGUGCCCCCUGUGUGUGUGUUAGCCUUUUAAUUUCAGCACUACAGGCAUCCCAAGUUCCUUUCUUAGAAGAGUGCACAUUUUAUUUUACUUCUUCCCGUCUGUCCCAUCUGCUCCACCGCCACCAUGCCAAGCACCAUCCGCCGGCAGAUGAAAAACAUGGUGAACAACUACUCUGAAGCAGAGAAGAAGGUCAGAGAGGCCACAUCCAACGAUCCCUGGGGCCCUUCAUCUUCCCUCAUGUCUGAGAUCGCAGACCUCACAUACAAUGUGGUUGCCUUCAGCGAAAUCAUGAACAUGAUCUGGAAGCGGCUCAACGACCACGGCAAGAACUGGCGUCACGUCUACAAAGCUCUCACUCUGCUCGACUACCUGAUCAAGACUGGGUCAGAGAGAGUGGCGCUGCAGUGCAAGGAGAACAUCUUUGCCAUCCAGACCCUCAAGGACUUCCAAUACAUCGACAGAGAUGGGAAAGACCAGGGUAUCAACGUCAGGGAGAAGAGCAAGCAGCUAGUGGUCCUACUCAAAGAUGAAGACCGCCUUAAAGGAGAGAGGUCUCAGGCUUUGAAGACCAAAGAGCGUAUGGCCCAGGUGUCAACAGGGAGCAGUCAAAUGGGUUUUGGGCGUGGUUCAUCUCAACCCAACCUUUCGACAUCCUACAGUGAAGAGUAUGGCAGAUCAGAGGGUUCGCCUGCCUCCUACCAUGGCUCCACAUCUCCCAAUGUUGGGUCAGAGCUGGAGCAGGCCAGGCCUCAGACCAGUGGAGAGGAGGAGCUGCAGCUACAACUUGCCUUAGCCAUGAGCAGAGAAGCCGCAGAGCAGGAGGAGCGCAUUCGCAGAGGGGAUGACCUGAGACUACAAAUGGCUCUGGAGGAGAGCAAGAAAGAAGGCCCAGGCGCUGCAAAACUGCCCAAGAAGAACAGAGAGCCACCACAGUCAUCUUUGAUGGAUCUAAUGGAUGUUCCUGAGCCAAGUGCCAAGGCUGACCCAUGGGGUGCAGGAGCUGGGGCCGGAGCUACAGCUGCAUCGGCAGACCCCUGGCAGCCUUAUGGUUCUGCCCCAAAGCCAGCAGCACCAGUGGAUCCAUGGGGUGCUUCUCCUUCUGUCCCACCCUUGAAAAGCAGCGAUCCUUGGGCCGCAAACUCUACUCCUGCAGCAGACCCCUGGAGCUCUGCAGCUGCCCGCCCCAAGACUUCCAACACAGGUAGCUUUGACCUGUUCAGUACGUCCAAUGGUACAUCCAAAGAAGACUUCUCAGAAUUUGACAGCCUGCGCUCUUCCUCCUCUGUUCCCACUGGUGAUAUGGGCAUAGCAGCCUCUGUCCCCUCUCAACACAGUCUGGCAAGUAGCGGCAGCCUGGAUCUGUUCGACCCCCUGCCCACCUUAGGAUCCUCUUCUGUCACCGUGAACCCGAUUAGAAAGACUCCAGAAUCCUUUCUUGGGCCCAAUGCUGCCCUAGUCAAUCUGGACUCUCUGGUGACUAAACCAGCCCAGCCUGCACCAGUCGUAAACCCGUUCUUGAGUUCUACAGGUGGUGCAGCUCCGGCUCCCCACGUCAACCCUUUCCAAGUGAGCCAGCCGGCUCCCCCUACCCUCAACCAGAUGCGCGUCAGCCCGAUGCCCUCUGGGUUUGGUGGCAUAGCAGAGCCCAUGCCCCUCUCCUCCAUUCCCGCUCAGCCUGUCGCUGCGGUCCCCCUGGCAGGGAUGGCCCCCAUGGGCCCCAUGAUGCCAGGAAUGGGGGUUGGCACUGUGGGAGGUGUGGGGACAAGCAUUGGAAUGAGCGCAGGGAUUCCAGCCUCCAUGUCCAUGCCCCAGCCACUGUUAAGCAUGCCCCCCCAAGCUGGGGCGCAGCCCGCCGGAACCACCAACCCCUUUCUUUUGUGAAAGGAUGACAGGGAUUUUUUGCCCAGAGUAACCCCUUCUUCUUCAUCUUAUGCUUCUUAACAAGUUUCAGUAUGAACAAGAUGUCUUCCCCCAUUUAUCCAUUUAUAACCCACUCCUAGCCAGGUCCCAGUCCAGCCUUCUUUUAAUGUCCUCCAUUUUCCUCUUCUCUUUCCUAUGCUACAAGCUGCCUAGUCCUGUGCAUCUCAGACUGGUCUAAAGAUGAUGCUGAUGAUCACAGAUAGUUUUCAUCUGUCUACAGGCUUAAAGAGUGGCAGUGUUUAUUUUUUUUUUUUGCUUUCUUUUUCCACCGAGGCAGGACAGGACCCAGACUUUCCUCCACAUUUUCCUCUCAUUCAACCAACUCUUCAACCUUGCGCAUUUCCCUUUGGACUGCUCCUCUUCUGUGAUGGGGUGACAGGAGAGUAACUGUACUAAUACCAGGAUCUUAUCUGUUCAACAGAACUAAUCUUUUAUAAGCCCUGUCAGCUGGUGAGUGUCUGUAUGUGUGCGAAUACACAUCUCAGUACUUUUACACUGUGUAUAUUCCAGUGAGUUUUACUUAGACACACUGGAGUAAGGAUGAGAGAUGGUCAAAUGUCUUUAUACUCUUUGUGUGUACGUGUUACAAAGCAGGAAUUUUGCACAAUUUUUGCUUUUUUUGGGGGGGGGGUUUCUUUUUCUUUCUGCGACUGUUGGGCUCACCGUUACACCUUAGCUUAGGGAGGAAGUCUGACAAAACAAACGAGACAACAUGCACACACUGCCUCGGCUGUUGGUACCACUCAGUCACAACUCGAUCACGACUUGGACCGUUUUUCUGACCCUUUACAUGAACUUUGCUCGCGAGGGGUCACAGAAUUAACAAUGAACACUUCUCACAAGAGAUGGAACCCCUUCUUUCAAUCUUAGGUGAUGAAAUGAUGAGGAAAAAUAUGUGUCUGGAUGUGUGUACUAUUAAUCCACCCCCGACCCCCACCGUGAGCGUUUGUUUAUAAAGAAAAACAUGAAUUGUGUUGGCAUCAGUAUUUUGCUAUUUGAACAAAUGGAUGCAGCUAGGCGUUGUGGGACAGCUUUUUUUUUUUUUUCCUUAAAAUAUGUUUCUAGGGUAAAAGGGAUGAGGGAGGGUAUGUGUGUGUGCUUGUUCGUGCGUGAGACAUGCAUUUAGCUUCCAAGUGUACUUUAAUGAGCAAGUUUUUCCAUUUCUUUGUUUAUUAGAAAGUAAACUAAAUCAGCUCUAAUUAGCUUAAAUGCAACUCCAAACAAGGGUUUAGCUCUCAGCAGCCUUAAGUAUGUGUUUGUAUGUAUGUGUGCAGCCAUAUAUCAACCAGCGUUACUAUGGCGACAAGGUUGCAAAGAAAACUCUCGGUUUAUAAGGGCACGUCGGCCACUAAUCAUUAUGAAACGAGUUUACCUCUGACUGGAUUUGCUGUGGCUAAUCUACCUACAAGAACAUUACCUUGUGCUCACACACACACACACACAUCUUCAAACGGGGUUGCUCCAGGAUCAGUCUGUUGAUGGCACAGGGAAUCCCACGGCAAACAACAGUGUGUCAUGUCAUGUAAACAAGCAUUUGUUGAUUACUUUUUGUUAUUGACUUGUUAGAUGUAAAUCUGUAGCCAAGCCUUUCUGAGUUCUGGAGCUGUGCACUAGCAAAGCCAUGUGUCACCUUCAUUCUCUCUCUCUUUUUUUUUUUUUUCUUUCUGUCAUUCUAGUUUUUUCACCCUAUGGGUAGGCUAUGUCAUUCUCUUCUCUUAGAAGCACAACUGUUACCAAAGUCAUAGCGACUGUGAUUUCUGAGGAAGCCACACGUGGAAUACUUUAAAAGUAGGGUCACACUUCACUGACUUUUUUUUUUUAUUAUUAUUUUCUGGUUAUGAAUGCUCAUGGGAUGAGAGACUCCAUUGUUAGUGUUUUAUAAGUCAGAGCUAACAUACAUUUUAAUGUGUUUCUGAGAAAGUGUUUCUGUUGCCAGAUAUCACAUUAACAGAAGGCAAGCUGAGCAUCUCUGUCUCUUGAUGGAACACAACUAAAGACAAACUUUUUUCUAAAGUCACUGUCGUGUCUUCGGUUUUGUCUCUGCCAGUGUUCAUACUUGUUGAAGGCUUUUUUUUUUUUUUUUAAUUGCUCUCUCUUCUGGUGGGAGUUGACGCCCCCUCAUGGUCUGCUGCAGUAUAUCGGCUACACUGCAUUCAGCGAGGGGCCGUUUCACUGUCAUUUUGAUUUUGAUCAGUGAUGAUUUUUCUGCUUGGAUACCUUAGAGAAUAAAUGCAGACCAGCUUUUUUUUUUUUUUUUUUUUUUUUAUUCAACUAAAUAUGUGCAAAAAUUGGAUUUAAAAAAAGGGACAAAAGACUUUGACGCCUUGUGUUUUGUAAUUUGCUAAUAAAUCUUUGUUUAUUGAAAUGCGACUGAUAUUCUAGCAGAUAUGUUGAUUUCUCAUUGACCUAUUUCACUGUAACCCGACUUUAAACUCUACGCCAGUGAUUGUGAGAAAGUUGAUGUAUGCAGUGAAAAGGGGAGGUUUAAAAAAAAAAAAAAAAAAAAAAGCCUUUAAUGUGUUGAACAAAUGAGCGUGGUCCACUGUUGGACUCUGCAGCUGAACAUUUUUUCUUGAUCCCUGGCAGCAGCGUCACAGUCGCUCCGGUUCAGUGAAAAUGUGGCCUAUGUGUAGCGAGCUCCUCUGUGUCAUGUAUUCACUAUGCGUUUAUCAAGAGGACUAACUGACUUUAUGGGCUGUAUGUCUUUAUAUGCAUAAACUGACUCCUUUAUUCUUUUUCUAGUCUAGUUACCCUUCUCAUAGUACCUGGAGCAGGCUGCUGCUGCUUCUCCUUUUUUUUAUUUUUUUUUUAUUGGUUUGUGCUCAACUCGUUGGCAUUAUAACUGUAUAAUAUAAUUUAUCAUUUGUACUAUUGUAACAUACUGUUCUUCUGUAUACCUUAUUAUUCUGUGUAAUGGGUUUUUGUAGGAAACUUCAUUGUUGUAUUUUAACGACAUCUAAACAAACGAACGCAGCAGUCUGUACCCUGUUGGAUGAGAACUGUAGCUGCAUUGGUUCAAAAUAAAAAUGAGAACUGAAGCUG